UACGAAGGGGGCUAGCGUUGUUCGGAAUCACUGGGCGUAAAGCGCACGUAGGCGGCUUUGUAAGUUAGAGGUGAAAGCCCGGGGCUCAACCCCGGAAUUGCCUUUAAGACUGCAUCGCUUGAAUCCAGGAGAGGUGAGUGGAAUUCCGAGUGUAGAGGUGAAAUUCGUAGAUAUUCGGAAGAACACCAGUGGCGAAGGCGGCUCACUGGACUGGUAUUGACGCUGAGGUGCGAAAGCGUGGGGAGCAAACAGG
rnacentral:rRNA from 1 species